rnacentral:tRNA from 1 species
GGGGUUGAUGUCUGUGGUAGGCGUGUUAGCUGUUAACUAAUAUGGUGUGGGAUCGAGGCCCUCCAACCCCU